rnacentral:rRNA from 1 species
GACUCUCGGCAACGGAUAUCUCGGCUCACGCAUCGAUGAAGAACGUAGCAAAAUGCGAUACUUGGUGUGAAUUGCAGAAUCCCGUGAACCAUCGAGUUUUUGAACGCAAGUUGCGCCCGAGGCCAUCUGGUUGAGGGCACGUCUGCCUGGGCGUCACGC